rnacentral:rRNA from 1 species
AUGAAACUGUUUAAGAGCACGGAUCUGCGUACGUCCAUUAGCAUUCAGCACCCGCAUUGUGCACAUUCGUACAUAAUAUGCUGUACUUUUACAAGCCAUGUUGCACGCAUACAUAACAUGCGUUUCUCGAAAGGAUCAUGGCAGCGUGGCAUUAAGAAAAUGCGGAGAAAUCAGAUACGGGGAUACUCCUACCUUGUACUCCCCAACUCGAGCGUCAGCCACAUGCGCGCAUGUUCAACUAUAAAGAAAUCCGAGCUGUUCAUUCAUGUUCUGUGCAAAUCCCUGAUACGUACUGCUGCUAUCUAG